rnacentral:rRNA from 1 species
UACAGAGGGGGCAAGCGUUGUUCGGAAUUACUGGGCGUAAAGGGCGCGUAGGCGGCCUGCUAAGUCGAACGUGAAAUCCCUGGGCUCAACCCAGGAACUGCGUCCGAUACUGGUUGGCUUGAAUCCGGGAGAGGGAUGUGGAAUUCCAGGUGUAGCGGUGAAAUGCGUAGAUAUCAGGAGGAACACCAAUUGCGAAGGCAGCUCGCUGGAACGUAACUGACGCUGAGACGCGAAAGCGCGGGGAGCAAACAGG